rnacentral:rRNA from 1 species
UACGGAGGAUCCAAGCGUUAUCCGGAUUUAUUGGGUUUAAAGGGUGCGUAGGCGGCCUGUUAAGUCAGGGGUGAAAGACGGUAGCUCAACUAUCGCAGUGCCCUUGAUACUGACGGGCUUGAAUACACUAGAGGUAGGCGGAAUGUGACAAGUAGCGGUGAAAUGCAUAGAUAUGUCACAGAACACCGAUUGCGAAGGCAGCUUACUAUGGUGUGAUUGACGCUGAGGCACGAAAGCGUGGGGAUCAAACAGG